AGCAGCUCCUAGCCCCAGCCUCCCUCCGCGCUGGAAAGAGAGGACCAAAAGCCAGAAGGACCCAGAUGCUCUUCCCUCUGCCCUGAGGGCGGAGAGGGAUACCCGGCCUGCAGGGUUAGGUGUCUUAGGUGGCCCCACGCCCUGGAGAAAGCAUCAGGUUCUUGCAGUACCUAACCGGGCCUGAGUACAACUGCAUGAGGAGGAGAGGACUUGCCUGUUUAGCCAAGCUCCAGCCUGAUAAUGUACCAUCAGGUCAUGGGGGCUGGUCCCAGGCGGGUACUGGGACUCAGAAGUGUCCAAAUCACUUUCUUGCUGGGUUGUAUCAGUUUAAGGUUAGACUGAUCAGCAAAGCAAUUUAUAAAACUGCGGGUGGGGACAGUGGUGCUGCUUCACCCCAGGGCUUGACAUAGUGGCUAGGAGAAAACAAGACUGAAAGAGGGGGAUUCCUCAGCCUCUGUCUGAAAUCAUGUAUCCUGGAGGUGCAGCAGGUUAAGUCUCUGUUAGUGGCUUAAAAGCAUAAUGGUAUUUAUGUUUCCCUUAUAAGGGAAACAGCAGAGAUGUUGACUUUACCUUGGAGGUUACCGAAUAAUGAAUAAAGAGUUCACUAUUGACUGGAAGAUACACAAGUCCAAGUGCAGAAGUACAAGGCAAACCAGGAGACCAAAACUGCAGCAGAUACAUAACUAAUCAGUUAACAGGAACUGGACCAACAAGCACACAGAAGCGACCAUAUUCCAAAAGGCACUGGAACUAGGAACAGUAUUCCAGUGGCAGUCACCCAAGUGCCAAAAAUAGAGGUAAAAUAACCUCUCUGCUCCUACUUGAGAUUCCCCUGUUCAUGCACCCCAGGAUUGCAUUAGCGCUUUUGGCUGGCAUCACACUGGGAGCUCAUGUUCAGAAGAUUAUCCACCACAACCCUCAAAUCUUUUUCAGAGUCACUGCCUGCUUCCCUGGAUAGAGUCCCCCAUCCUAUCAUUUUGAUAUUUAAUAAAUCCCUUACACCUUGCAAUUCAGAUCUCCCAAGAGGGUACCAACCAAAAAAAGAAGGAUGUACUGACAAGAUUUAUAAUGGCAUCUAUCUGGGCAUUUUAGAUCCUUUAAAAAAAGCCAACCAAUAACUAGUAUCUUCUCCAAAUCAAAAGACUUAACAGAACUUCUUUUCUAUGCUACUAAAUUGAUUGAUCCUUACUAGCAACCAGAGAUCUACAAAAUGGAUAAUUCUGGCACAGCCACAUGAAGCUUACCAAACCUGGACUCUAGAACACAUCUAGAAGGAAGAGGUUCCUAAGCUUUCCAACUAUGAUGCCCUGUCAUCCAUUCAGAAGUAUUUCACUCCAAGAACAGACAGCAGGAAUCAUCCAGCAUCUCUCUGCUACCGGGACAGGCCACAGGGAAGACCUGAUCUCUUGGAUAACAGAGAUCCAGACCUUUGAGGAUUUUUUAGACCAUAACCAACACCUUGAACUGCACCCAGAAAUAAACCAUUAAUCACAACAGGUUUGGUAACACCAGUAUUGCAUGCGCAUGACAACUUACUUCCCUCAAGAAAAUGUUCCAGAUGAUUUUAAGAGUAACCCCAAGUAGAGUGCAUUGCAGGUAACUGUGGUGUGGGUUAUGGUGGCAGGGUCCACAGUAAGAAGGAACAGUGGCAGCUGAUUGGGUCAGUCAUAGGUUUGGGGUGGGGGAGACGUGUGCUGCCUCUGGCAUCUAGGAAAACAGUAAGAGUGAUAGAUCCGAUAUAAACCUAAGAGUGGAAAUUAUUUUUGCAAAGGUCAGGACUGCAUCUUUAAUAAAAGACACGCUCACAGCCACCACCCCCUGCUUUGGAGGCAUCUCUUUGCUCAUCAGCAUAAUUUCCUUAGUGUCUGCUUGUUCUCCACUACUACUUAGAUUGUAAACUCUCUGAAGCAGGGACCAUCUCUUUGCUGUAUGUUUGUACAGUGCCUAACACAAUACUGCUGGGGCCUCUAACCUCUACCAUAGCACAAAUCAACAGUUAUACAUAAAUGGUUCAGUUCAUUUUAUAAAGUGGCUGAGUUAUUAAAAUAAUAAUAAAAUCAUUUCUCCCUGCCAGUUGUACCAAGCUACCUCUCCAAGUAAACACAAUUGUAAUUCCAUUUUAGUUCUGUUAGGAGUCUGGGUGUCUGGAACUGACUUGCUGAUUUUUUUUUUCUUUUCACUUACACUGGCUAAGUCUGACAGAUUCUUUUGCUCAGACUGCUAUGUAGUUAACUUAAAAAACCCAUCUAUAAUUGUGUUCUAUAGUGUAUAUUAACAGGAAUUUGUCUUUAGGAUUCUCAUUGGUAAUUAUUCUGUUUUUUUGGAUAUUAAACUCUCUUGGAGUGGACCUGUAAA